UAGAAGGAAACUGACACACAUGACAUGACUUGAUCACAAGAUUUGAGUCCAUAAUUCAUAAUAUCAUAAGUAGGGGAUAUCAUAUUUCAUAUAGUUAUUCAACAUCUUAAACAUUGUAGGGAAUGCAUGGAUAUAUUUCGUGUACAUAUUGUAUAUCUCCAUUAUCUUACAUGCUUCAUACCACCACAAUAGCAACACAUAAAAAGCAUGGAAAUCAUAUUGAAUUAUAUAGCUAACAUGGACUUGUCAUUUAGAUAUCAUAGAACCAUACAAACAUGAAUUUCU
rnacentral:lncRNA from 1 species